AUCGCUUUCGCUGGCACACGGCAGGUAGUCAACAAAUAACCUGUAUUUGUUCUGGAAGGAAAAGGUAUCUUUUGCUUUUUUUUAUAUAAAAAAGAAGAACAUAUUAAGCAAGAUGGUCUGAUUGAUACUGAAAGCUUGCAGCUAUGUAGCUGAGAAAAUUGGAGACCUGUGCAGAAAAAAGGAUGAGGAGGAAAAUGCAACUGCCAUCUCCGCCCUGGGGGAUAUAAAACAGAAACCAGAUGGCCUUCCUGAACCGUCCGCAGAUCCAAAACCUGCAACUGCAAAAAA